GACGAACCGUGCGAACGUUGUUCGGAAUCACUGGGCUUAAAGGGAGCGUAGGCGGGCCACCAAGUCAGGGGUGAAAUCCCACGGCUCAACCGUGGAAGUGCCUCUGAUACUUGUGGCCUCGAGGGGUGCAGGGGCGUGCGGAACUCAGGGUGGAGCGGUGAAAUGCGUAGAUAUCCUGAGGAACACCGGUGGCGAAAGCGGCGCGCUAGACACCUACUGACGCUGAGGCUCGAAAGCCAGGGGAGCAAACGGG
rnacentral:rRNA from 1 species